UUGAAGUCGGAAUCGCUAGUAAUCGCAGAUCAGCAUGUUGCGGUGAAUACGUUCCCGGGUCUUGUACACACCGCCCGUCAAACCAUGAGAGUCACCAACACCCGAAGUCCGCCUUGGCGGCCUAAGGUGGGGGAGAUGAUUGGGGUUAAGUCGUAACAAGGUAGC
rnacentral:rRNA from 1 species